GUUGAGAAUAUUCCAUUCUGUGCAUAUAGUGCAUUUUGUUUAUUAAUUCAUCUAUUGUUGGACACUUGGGUUAUUUCCACCUUUUGGCUCCUGUGAAUAAUGCUGCUGUGAAGAUUAAUCACUGACAUGGACUGUCAUUCUCAUUCUGUGACAUCCUUAUAAAAAUAGCACAUGCCCCUGGAUUGGACAUCUGGAAAAGUAUGAAAAAGAAUAAAAAAAGAAGUAAGAUUCAUACCUACUCUCCAUCCAGGGGAGCAAGAGAGACCAGAACCUAAACUGAGCUACAAGCAAC